GUGUGUGUGUAUGUGUGUGUGUGUGUGUGUGUAAUGUGUAUUUCAUUUCUUUUAUUUGUUUUCCCUACUGUUUACUGAGUGAGAAUUCUAUGUAGAACCCAAGACUUGUCAAUCAACAGCUAAGGGAAUGAAACACUUUGCACUUGAUGAGAAUCAACAUGGUUUUCCUGAAGAUAUUUCAACCCAUGUUGGACAUUCGAGAUCUGAUCCAAAAUAAAGAGGUUCAUCCCCCUUGGACUUCAGCCUUGCCCUGCAUACAUCUUUUCUAUCUCAUUGGAAAAACUUGUUAUUUGUUGAGAGACAUGUGAAUUUGCAGCUUUAGAUGUUCUAUUCAGGCAGCAUUUAAGUUUGGAGGGUCAACAGAUCAGACUUGGAGUCCUGAUAUGUGUCAGAAAUUGGGGAAGAUUACUGCCUGAGACAGCACAGGGCAGCGACAGUGAGAGAUGAAGGCAACAUCAGUGUGCGCCAGAGUUUUGCAACUCCACACGCAGUCCAUCAUGGACCAACAACUGCAGCAUCACCUAGGAGCUGUUAGAAGUACAGACUCUCAGAUCCCACCCCAGAUUCCUGAGUUGGAAUCUGUAAUUUGAUAAGAUUCUCAGGUACAUUAAAGUUCGAAAAGUGGCAUGUUAGUGAACUGAGAUUUCUAUGUCAAGGGAUGUACUUGGUGUUGAAGAGCUGAGUUCAGAGUUCAGAGAGCAGGUGUUCAAAAGCAAGUUCAAGUCAUACAAAAGAGCCAAGAAUAACCCAAGAGCUUCCACAUAUCUCUGUAAACAGGGUUAGAGGUUGUCAGGGUCACAGGCAGGACAGAUACCUUGCACAUUUUUUUCUUAAGAAAUCUCGAUUAUCAAUCUCAAAUUUUCUUUAAAGUGUUUUUUACUAUAACACAAAUAUUGAAACACAAAUAUGUGUACAAAUUAAUGCAUUUUAAUACUGUUUUACUGAGGUAAAAUUUACAUGUAAUAAAAUGCAUAACUUUUGAA